rnacentral:rRNA from 1 species
UGGGGAAUAUUGCACAAUGGGCGCAAGCCUGAUGCAGCCAUGCCGCGUGUGUGAAGAAGGCCUUCGGUUGUAAGCACUUUCAGCGAGGAGGAAGGUGGUGAACUUAAUACGUUCAUCAAUUGACGUUACUCGCAGAAGAAGCACCGGCUAACUCCGUGCCAGCAGCCGCGGUAAUACGGAGGGUGCAAGCGUUAAUCGGAAUUACUGGGCGUAAAGCGCACGCAGGCGGUUUGUUAAGUCGAAUGUGAAAUCCCCGGGUCAACCUGGGAACUGCAUUGAACUGGCAAGCUAGAGUCUCGUAGAGGGGGGUAGAAUUCCAGGUGUAGCGGUGAAAUGCGUAGAGAUCUGGAGGAAUACCGGUGGCGAAGGCGG